GGAUGGGUCCCGUGCGGCGGAUCGCCGUGAACCAUGUCAGGCGGGGAACCGAGCAGCAUUAAGCGGUCUCAUUCGCGUGCCGCGGGUCGCCUGUUCACC
rnacentral:SRP_RNA from 1 species